AGAGAGAGAGAGAGAGAGAAAGAGGGAAGGAGAAAGUAGUAUGUAAGGCUGCAGUUAGGCUGUUCUGAGGGAUGGCUCGUUAUAUCGAGUGGCCGCUUGUUGCAUCCCCGCUCGUCAUGAUGUAAACAAGGGGUUGCGCGCGCCUAACGCCCUUCCACAGUGACCGGUUCUCUCUCUGUCUCUUUUUCUCUCUUUCUCGAAUGCGCGAACUCGUCCUCCUUUUACUGUGUCAACUUCCUGGAUCGAAGUAGUAUCGAGCUAGUCCUGCAGGAUACUUCGAACCAUAAUCGAAUACAGAAAGAGAUAGAGAGAGAAAGAAGGAGAGAGAGAGAGAGAGAGAGAGAGAGGGAAAGAAAAAGAAGAAUUUAGUGGAAUUGAGAAUUGAAGGAGUGAAAAGAACGACAGAUAGAGAAACAGAGAAAGAGGAUGAGAGAGAGAGAGAGAGAGAGAGAGAGAGAAGUGUGACAAUGAUAAUAGAGCGGGAAAGUGAAGAAACCGAUGUCGAUGUACGUUCACCCUCCCUCUUGACCGUCGAACCGUGCCAACGGUACUCCCACCCCUUCGGAUAGUUUGCUUUUCCACCACCUUAUAGUGUAAACAAAACGAAGAUAGACCGACGAAGAUAUUCUGUGCCAUAGAUAAAGAGAGAGAGAAUGAAAGAGUGAGAGUGAGAGGGAGAGAGAAAGAAAGGGGAAAUUACAUUGGAUGAUAUAAAUAAAACAAGGAUAGAUGAUAUUCUUUUGAGAAAGUGAAAACACGAAGAGAGAGAGAGAGAGAGAGAGAGAGAGAGAGAAAGAGAGAGAUUAUAAAUAAAAUAAAGAUAUGUAAUAUUAUGUGAGAAAGAUAAGUAAUAUUUUGAACGAGAGAGAGAGAGAGAGAGAGAGAGAGAGAGAGAGAGAGAUACGUAUUUGUAGAAGAUAGUAUAAACAAAAAGUGAGGAUAAAUAGAUAGAUAGAUAGAUAGAUAGAUGUAGACAGAGAGGGAGAAGGAUAUAGGUGAGUGAGUGAGAACGAGAUAGAUAGAUAGAGAGGGAGAGAGAGGGUGGACGUUUCGUAGUGGAGAGGGAAAUAAGAGGAUACGAAAAGGGGCUGCGAGAGGUGGCAGACCAGCUGCUAAGCUCAGAGCGCGUUGAUUCGUCUCGGUGAGUGGGUGUUUUUCUUCUCGAGUUUUAACUUUACCGACAAUAAGUAUUAUCUUAUUGUUGUAAAGUGUCCUUCGAUUGAUCCUUUUCUUUCGGAUUCUUUUUUUCAUUUUCUUCUCUUUCACUCUUUGCUUCAUUAUCUUCGAAAUAUAUAUUUUUUUUAUUUUUCUAUAUUUCUUUAUCGCUCUCUUUCUUUCUCUCUCUCUCUUUCUCUCUCUCUCUUUCUCUCUUUCUCUCUUUCUCUCUCUCUCUCUCAUACUUUAUUCUUAUUCGUUAUCAUCGUCGAUAUCGACUACGUGGAUUAUGAAUUUUUUCGAGCUCGUUCGUGUGUGGAUAAAAAAAGAAGAAGUGGAAGACGAAGAAGAGGAAGAAGAGGAAGAAGAGGAAGAAGAAAAAAUCUCAAGGACGAUUUGAAUUCACGUGUGACGAUUAAUAAACUGUUUCUUUUCUUUUCUUUUUUCUUUUUUUUUUUUUUUUGAAAGAUUUUUCUUUCUAAGAAUGAAAGAUUAGAUCGUAUGAAAAGAAAGAUCAGAUAUUAUAUAUUUGAUAUCGUACGUGCAAAGAGAGACAGAGAGAGAGAGAGAGAGAGAGAGAGAGAAAUAACAUAGGUAAUAUUUAUUGUCGAAGACGAGUAUCAUUAUUUUCUUGUAUUAUUCUUUAAACGUGUAAGGGUGAGAUAGCAAAAGGAUUAAUAGGAUGAAGUCCGAAAGUAAUAACGGAUAUAUCAGAGCUAAUGUUAUCCCGGAACAAAAUGAACUUACGUCUCCCACGGGACAAGACGUUUCACUAACCGGAAGUCCACUUCAGGUUACCUAUGGACCAAGAGGUGGUACAGUGACCAGCGUUCUUCAUCCAACGAAUACGAGAAGACAGGUUGCUGGAAUAACACGAGCUACUUCGGUAACAAGAAGACGAAGUGGGGCUCCUAUUAGGCAACAAAUGUUAGGCAUAUUGGCUGCCACAUUGCUCGGCAUUUCUCUUUUAAUUCUUCUCGUCUUGGUAUUAAACACGACGCGGGAAUGCGUCCAAGAGCCACGUCCGAAUGUAUGCAUGUCCGAAGAAUGCGUCAGAACCGCCGCAAGUUUGCUCUCAGCGAUGGACCGAACUGUUGCACCCUGUGUAAACUUUUUUCAAUACGCAUGCGGUACUUGGAAUCGUUUGCACGUGAUACCAGAAGACAGAAGUUCUAUCAGCACGUUCGAAGUGCUCGCCGAUCAACUCCAAAUCAUUUUGAAGCGUGUUCUCGAAGAAUCACCGAACGAGAACGACAAUAAUGCAACUCUCAAGGCCAAAAUGUUCUACAAAUCGUGCAUGGACAUCCCACGUAUACGCGAGAUCGGUGACAGACCUUUGAAGAAAACAUUAGCAGCACUUGGUGGUUGGCCCGCAGUGAUUGGAGCAUCUUGGGAACCACCACCUUAUCCGAUCGAGGUUCUCUUGGGUCGUUUACGAGGUGAAUACAACGAGGGUGUUCUAAUGGAGCAAUGGGUUGGCCCGGAUGACAAGAAUUCCUCAACCAACAUCCUGCAGUUGGAUCAAAUGCAGCUGGCAUUACCUAGCCGUGAUUAUUAUCUGAAGAAGAACAGCGAGGCCGAAUUGGAUGCUUAUCAUCGUUACAUGACGAACGUAGCUGUUUUGCUUGGCGCCAAUCGUGAAAAUGCAGCACUCGAGUUUAAUCGCGUGAUCGCCCUUGAAAAACAACUUGCCAAUGCUUCGUUGCCCGAGGCCGACAGACAUGACACCUCAAUGAUCUAUAGAAAGUUAACAUUACGAGAACUACAAAAAGAGGUGCCGCAACUUAAAUGGAAAGUUUAUCUCGAGGAAUUCAUAAGUGCACCGAUUACCGAGGACGAGCCAGUAGUGGCAUACGCGAUGCCCUAUUUCCUUCAAAUGGGUCGAAUCGUACAGAAAACCGAUCGCAGGACGUUGCACAAUUACAUAUUAUGGCGAUUGGUGAUGUCUAUAAUGCCGCAUAUGAUAGACGAAUAUCAGCAAAAGAGAAUCGAGUUUCGUAAGAUAUUAUCAGGAAUCCUCAGCGAGAGAAACAGAUGGUCCCAAUGCGUCGAGUGGACCAAUAAGAAUCUUGGAAUGGCUGUGGGUGCACUUUUUAUACGUGAUAAUUUUAAUCACGAGAGCAAGGAAACUGCAUUGGAAAUGAUACGAACUAUACGCGAAGCUUUUAAUGAAUUGCUAGCUGAGAAUCAAUGGAUGGACGAUGAAACUAGAACCGUUGCCAAAGGAAAAGCUGAUUCAAUGAAUGAAAGAAUUGGUUAUCCAGAGUUUUUGAAGGAUCCAGUUAAACUUUCCUUGGAAUACGUUACGUUGAACAUAACGGAGGAUCAUUUUUUGGAAAAUGUUUUGGCGGUACAUAAGUACGACGCAUAUCACAAUCUUCAGGAAUUACGUCAACCGGUUGACAAAGACAAAUGGUCCACAGAGCCAGCCGUGUUAAAUGCAUUUUAUAAUCCUAAUAAAAACGACAUAGUAUUUCCCGCUGGUAUACUGCAACCGUUGUUCUAUUCUCAACACUUUCCUAAAUCGUUAAAUUACGGUGGAAUCGGUGUGGUGAUAGGUCAUGAAAUCACUCAUGGGUUCGAUGACAAGGGACGACAAUUUGACAAAGAUGGCAACAUGAUGCAAUGGUGGAAUAAUGCAACCAUUAAAGCAUUUCGAGAGAGAGCACAGUGUAUCGUCGAUCAAUACUCUCGAUACAAAUUACAAGAAGUUGAUCUUUACAUAAACGGCCGAAUGACGCAAGGUGAAAAUAUCGCUGAUAAUGGUGGAUUAAAACAAUCGUUUCGUGCUUACAAAAAAUGGGUCACGAUACACGGAGAGGAACCAUUGUUACCUGGGGUGAAUUUAACUCACGAUCAACUCUUCUUUCUUAAUUAUGCACAAAUUUGGUGUGGCUCGAUGAGACGAGAGGAUGCUCUAACGAAAAUACGUAGUAGCGUACACUCACCGGGUCCGGUUAGAGUGUUGGGCCCGCUUUCAAAUAGCGAGGACUUUGCCAAGGCCUAUAAUUGUCUACCAGGCUCACCGAUGAAUCCAACGCGUAAAUGUAGCGUCUGGUAAAAAUGUACGAAUUGUCAGAAAAAAAAGAAAACAAGAAGAGAUAAAAGAAGAAAAAGAUUUUUUUCGAAAGAUCUGAUUCAUUCGAAUGGAUACAAAAUAGAUAAAUAUUUGAUGAGAAUACAGAGGAUGUCAUUGUAAUACAUCCAAUAUGGACUCCAUUUUUCGUGGUAGCCAUUUUGUCGGUCGCCAUUAGACGCGUAUAUCGAACUUUACACUUUUAUCCACGAAAAUGCAAUAAUAUAAGUAUAGUUGAUAGUUGUACGAGAUGAAACAAAAAUUAAAAGAAAAUAUUUCAUUAAUAAUAACAAUAAUAAUAAUAAUAACUAUAAUAAUAAUAAUAAAAAAUAAUAAAAAUAAUAAUGAUGAUGAUAAUGAUGAUGAUGAUGAUGAUGAUGAUGAUGAUGAUGAUGAUAUAGAGAUUAUUAAAAUUCAUAAUCGUAUUGCAUAUACUGCGAUAUAUUAUGUAAAUGGUAUAUAUAUACACACAUAUACAUACCUAUAUGAGUCUAAUGUAAGACCUAACGGAGUUGUUCAAGUAUCUCGUUCAAAUGAUAUCAUCAUAUUAACGAUAUCUUAAUUCAGAAACAUAAUUAAAUAAGCUUUAAUAAUUAUCACAAAAUAUCGAACGGCCACAGUUAUUUGGACAGCUCCGCCAUAGGGAGAAAAAAAGUGCAACGUAUGUAUGUAUAUAUAAAAUUUAUGUAAGUAUGUAAGUAUGUUUGUGUGUACGUAUUGAAUGUAUUUUAUGUAUUGUAUGUAAUGUAUGUAUAUCCCAGAAAAAUUAUAGGAAGAUGUAUACAUACUUAUUUCCGGAAUUAAAUAAUUAAGUAGAUAUAAGAGGAUUAAAAAUACACACACACACAUAUAUACCUAGAUUUCACAACGAAAUUCAUCAUGAAUUUCGUUCGUUGAAUUUUUCCCAUGAUAAUGGGAAUAAAUUAAGGUAAUUCGUUAUUUUACAGGUGUUAAAAUGUUUUUAAUGGAAAUCCAUUUGAAAUAGUUACGCGUUCUAUUUAUCUGUCUACCAUUUGCAUCUGGAUAUAUCAAAAAACACAACAACAAUACGUGACGAAUGAAUGAUUCAUCAAGAAAUAAUAAUAUUAAUAAAAAAUAUAAUAAUAAUAAUGAUAAUAAUAAUAAUAAUAAUAAUAAUGACUGAAUAAAUCGACUGCGAUAUCGACCAGCAGCAGUUUUCAGGAAAGAACAAGAACAACAAUGGUAACAACAGUAAUACUAUAACAACCACAACAAUAACAACAACAACAAUAGCAGCAGCAGCAGCAGCAGCAGCAGGAGUGUAGCAACGAUAUUGUUGUUGAAGCAGCCAUCUCAAACUCAAUGAGAACAUUCAAAAAAUAGGCAAGAGACCAUAAAAGAUCUUCAUUAUCUCACACGCUCCAUAAUAUAGUCGUGUAACAACGUAUGUAAGCCGAAUUGUGAAAAAAUAUUUUCUACAAUUACGAGAUGAUAUCUCUAUUUUGUCUUCUUCAAAAGAGAGCAUAUAAAGUAUGUAUAUAUAUACAUGCAAAGAUUUGACUUAUACUUCAAGAGCGUGACGAGAUGAUCCCAUAAAAAAUAACGUUGUAAUAGCAAUGAAAAGAAAAAAAGAAAGUUCGUAGUUUUUGUCGAUUUUAUUUAUUUGUUUAUUUACUUAUUUAUUCAUUUUUCUGUUUUUUCUUUUCUCUCUCUUUUUUUUUUUUUUUUUUUGAAUAAUAAAAAACCAAUACCGAUAGAUAUAUGUCGGAGCAUAUUUUUCAUAUUUAAAUUUUUAUUUAUUAAAUGCUAUGUAGAUUGUUUCGUGUAUUAUUUGACAAACAGUGCGUUAAAUUCAGGAUCUUGCAGGAUUUAAUGGAUUCUAUUGAAAAGUUGUUUCACGGGAUAUUCUCGAUAUAUAUAUAUAUAUAUAUAUAUAUAUAUAUAUAUAUAUAUAUAUAUAUAUUGAUAUAU